rnacentral:rRNA from 1 species
CCUACGGGCGACAGCAGUGAGGAAUAUUGGACAAUGGACGAAAGCCUUAACCAGCGACGCCGCGUGAGGGAAGAAGGCUUUCGGAUUGGUAACCUCUGUCAGUGGGGACGAUAAUGACGGUACCCACGGAGGAAGCCACGGCUAACUACGUGCCAGCAGCCGCGGUAAUACGGCGGUGGCAAGCGUUAUCCGGAUUUACUGGGUGUAAAGGGGGCGUAGGCGGGAUGUCAAGUUAGAAGUGAAAAUUAUGGGCUCAACUCAGAACCUGCCUUUGAAACUGAUAUUCUUGAGUGAAGUAGAGGUAAGCGGAAUGCAUGGUGUAGCGGUGAAAUGCGUAGAUAUUAGGCAGAACACCAGUGGCGAAGGCAGCUUGCUGGGC